rnacentral:tRNA from 1 species
GCGGAUGUAGCUCAGUCGGCUAGAGCGUCUGCUUGCCAUGCAGAAGGUCGUGGGUUCGAGUCCCAUCAUCCGCU